GUGAACGCUGGCGGCGUGCCUAACACAUGCAAGUCGAACGAUGAUAGAGAGCUUGCUCUCUUGAUUAGUGGCGGACGGGUGAGUAUACCAUAGAUAAUGUACCUCUUAGUUCGGGAUAGCCACUGGAAACGGUGAUUAAUACCGGAUACUACUUCUUCCUCUUAGGUAAGUCGGGAAAGUUUUUUCGCUAAGAGAUCAGUCUAUGUCCUAUCAGCUAGUUGGUGAGGUAAUGGCUCACCAAGGCUAUGCCGGGUAUCUGGUGUGAGAGGAUGAGCAGACACACUGGAACUGAGACACGGUCCAGACUCCUACGGGAGGCAGCAGUGAGGAAUAUUGCACAAUGGAGGAAACUCUGAUGCAGCAACGCCGCGUGGAGGAUGACGCAUUUCGGUGUGUAAACUCCUUUUAAGAGGGAAGAUAAUGACGGUACCUCAUGAAUAAGCACCGGCUAACUCCGU
rnacentral:rRNA from 1 species